GGUCCUAUAGUCUAGUGGUUAGGACGUGUAAGUUAUCACAAUGUUGAAGUAAUAAACUCAAUCACUAACAAAACCAGUGGAUUUUGAUGACUCAAAAGCUACUUCCAAAGUCGCCAGUUCGAACCUGGCUAGGACCU